rnacentral:snRNA from 1 species
CGUAUUUGAUCCGUCAUAGUU